GGAAAAGUAGCUUAAUUUAAAGCACUUUGUUGAAAACGAAGAAGAUGGUUUAUAACUCUUUCUCA
rnacentral:tRNA from 1 species